GCGGUGGCUCUGCGGGAGCGGAGCGCUCCUCUGCGCCGCUGACCUGCCCGGGGCCCUCCAUGGGAGCCGAGGGGAGAGGUAGCACCGCUCACACGCACCGAGGAUCGCAGCUUUGCACCGGAGGGCUCAGGGCCUCGGCUGCUGGUUCCUUAGUAGACGGGUCCUGCAAAUCCCGCUACUUUCCUCCGGCGUAUGUUGAGGCCAAAAGGGAAACUACUGCCACCCGAGUA
rnacentral:lncRNA from 1 species